rnacentral:lncRNA from 1 species
ACAAAGCUGGUAUGAAGUAAUACAUCAUAUGUUUGAAAAGUACAUAACAGAGUUUUAUGAAUCUAAGGCUACCAUAAACAAGAGGCAGCUACAAUCGGAAAGCAGGUACAUCUUCAGAUCCAGCUCCCAACGAACACAACAACAUCAGCAGCCAACAUCUGCACGCAAGGUGCAGAAGUAUAGUAUGAGUACAACCGGCCCCAUGUACUCAAUAAGUAACAAACCUAUCCUGAGGUUAAAAGUAGUGACGAGCUUGUACCAAGGUCAGGUCCAACUCCCAUAAGCAACAACAAUUCAUAACAAUAUAAAGCAAGUAAUAAACGAGUAGCCCAGAUAUAAAACACUCAGCUAAAUCAUGAUUUCUGAAAAUAGCCCUGCCUUUCAAGUACACCAGUGAAAACCCCAAAUCUUUUACCGAAGUUGCCAAAAAUAUGAGUAAGUUGAAAACAGAAAUUUUCCCAAAAUAAAAAUCCUUUCCACAAUAAAUAAGAUGUUUCAUUUUCUUUCCAGAUAGCUAGUGAAAAUGCAUCAUUAUGCCCAUAGGCCAAUAUGUAUGAGAAGUCAUGAAUAACGUGAUGGCGUACAAUAUGAGAAAAAUACAUCUCUAUGUAUGUAUGUCAUGUGUGCAUGUCAAUGCGAUGCAAAUCAGUGAUAAAGACCAUAUGCAUCCUCUCAGAGUAUCAAUUCACUCAGUCCUCCCAAUCAUCAGUCCUCACAGUUACGCAGUCCUCCCAAUCACUCGGCACUCACACUCAGUAGGUACUUGCGCUCACUAGGGGUGUGUACAAACUCCGAAUGGGCUCCUUCAGCCCAAGCGCUAUAAUCUACACAGACAACUCACGUGCUAUAGUAUCAAUAUCUGUAUCAGCACGGAUAAUUCACGUGUUGCACGGACAACCCACAUGCUAUAGUAUCAAUAUCUGUAUCCGUACGGACAACUCACGUGCUAUAAUAAAGCCUAUAAGGCCUGUUGUAGGCGGGCAACCCUGAUCCACAUAAUAAUAAAGUAUAUAAAGCCAAUAUGGUCUGCUGUGGCAUGCAACCCGAUCCCAUAAUUAUCCUCACAAUCAGACCCUCGGCCUCACUCAGUCAUCAAUCUUUUCAGUCUUUCGGGCUCACAGUGUCGUGCAACUAGCCCAAAAUGAUGAUACGAUGAAUCAAUAAGUAGCAAUAGAGACUGAGAAAUGAUAUAAAAUGAAUGAACAUGACUGAGUAUAAAAUUUCAUUUAAAACAAAUAAUUCAACAACAAUAUGACCCUUGUGGGUCUCAAUAAUACUGGAACAUAGCCUAGCAUGAUUUUUAAUAUGAUUCUCAGCUCAAUUUCUUUAACACAUAAAACUACACAGAGAAUGCCAAGUUUAUUUGACUACAAAAUUUCACGGAACCAAUUACGUCGCAAUUUUUAUAGUGCACGCCCACACGCCCGUCACCUAGCAUGUGUAUCACCUCCAAACAAUUCGCAUAAUACGUAUAUUCAGGGUUGAUACUCUCAGCUCCAAGAUUAGAAGAGUUACUUACCUCGAACACGAUGAAUCCAAAGUCGAGAAAGCUAAACAAUGCUCCAGAAGUCCCAUUCUGCGCAUAUCAACUUCCGAAUGGCUCUAAUCUAGCUAUAAUUAAUUUGGUUCAGUCAACACAAAUUAUAGGAAUUAAUUCCAUAUCAAAAUAAUAAAUUUUUCACAAAAUCCGAAAUUCCAUAUCUUAUGCCGAAACACAACAAAUCAACCCAGAAUGACUUCAAAUUUUGCACAUUUCAAAUUUUGCACAUUUCCAGAAUCGAAUUUUGACCUCGAUAUCAAAAAGUCAACUCCCCGGUCAAACUUCCCAAAAAUUCGACUUUCGCCAUUUCAAGCCUAAUUCCACUACGGACUUCUAAAAAAUUUUCUGGGCACGUUCCUAAGUCCAAAAUCACCAUACAGAGCUAUUGAAAUUAUCAGAAUUCAAAUCUGAGAUGGUUUACACAUAAGUCAACAUCCGGUCGACUUUUCCAACUUAAGUUUAAAAUUACGAGACUAAAUAUCUCAUUUCACUUAAAAAUCUCUCCGGACCCGAACUAGCUAAUUUGAUAGGUUAUAAUACCGCUAUAAAGUACAAAUAGAGCAGGAAUGGGGGAACGGGGUUGUAAUACUCAAAACGCCCGGCCGAGUCAUUAUACCUUGUGUUGAGUCCCCAAAGUCAAAUGCACGUGAUGCAAACAAGCGUACCUACUAGGGAUCCGGCAUAAGGCUUUGUUCUUCUAGGUUUAAAUCUUAGGGUGUGUUGUUCUAGACCUGGCUUACCCGAGCCGAGGAAGGGGGGCAACGUAUCGGGAAUACAAAAGCUUCAUCGGCUUUGCAACUUGUCUGAUUCCUCUCGGGUAAGCCAUCAUCAUCAUCUUCUUCGUCAACUUUUCGUCAUCAUCAUCAUCUUCUUCUUCGUCAUCAACAUCUUCAUCAUUAUCCGCCUCCUCACCAUACUGAUCAUCGACAUGCCUUGAAUAAGACGUAUCGCAAACAAGAAGCUUCUGGCGAUUGGAUGACCCAUAACCCCGAUUCAUGCCAUACGGGCUGGGAGGAUAUAUCCCAUUAUCCUCAUUGUCAUCCAUCUAAGCACAAGAAACCAAGUGACUACUAAUACCGCAUACUACUAUCUACCCUCUUAUUAGAGAGAGUCCAAUAUAAAAUUCCAAAUUCUAAGCACAAUGUUUCCUUUAUCAAAACCAACCCAUUUUAACUCCAAAUUAACAUUUCAUUCCUAACAACUAGAUGAUAAAUUUCUCCCACAUUACAUCACAAAAACCUCAUUCAAAAAACUAAUCUCAAAUACAAGCAAAACAAAUUAUUCAAAUCAUGAAAAUAUGCCUACAACAACCCAAAAUCAAUACAAGAACUUAUAUUUUCAAGGAAUUAGAUACACUAAAAAGCAAAACCCUUUAAUCCCUUCACCUCAAAAAGGGGAACUUUGUGCUUGAAUUGCCUUAAAGUUUGAAACUUAAUCUAAACCCUUAAAACCCCAAUAUCCAUUGAAAAAACAAGAACAACUCAUUUUCAUCGGAUUAAGUUUCAAUUAAGAAAUAGCCUUUAACCCGUUUACCUCAAAAAGGACUUAAAGUUGGGAACUUUGAGCAAAAUCAAUCACCUUAAUAACAACCAAAAUCAAUCUAAAAAACAAGAAUAUCUCAUUUUCAGAUUAUUAAGUUCCAAUAAAACAUACCCUUUAACUCAUUUACCUCAAAAAAGAGAAUUUUGUGCUUGAAUUGCCUUUAAGUUUGAAACUUUGAGCAAAAUCAAACAUCUAGCACCAACAAAAUACAAGAAAAUCAAACAAAAUCUUAAGAAUCUUGGAGAAAUCUGAGGUUGUAAAAGGAUUCAAAGGUUGUAUCAAAAUUGAAAAGUACUUAUUGAGUAAUUUUCAAGAUUUCUAGGGUUUAUAUUUUGGGGCAGUAAAUAUGAAAAAGUAGAGAAAGUUUAUCCCCAUAUGAUCUGAGGACACAAAAAUCAGCUGGGAGUGGAACAACCAAAGUAGCUAAAGUAUGCCGAGUGUGAACCUUUUUCGAGUUCGGAACCAAAAUGUGGUUCUUUUGGACUAAAAGAAUCAAAAUGUGUGGAAAAAAUGACCAGUGGCCAUAAUAUAUAUUACACUCUUUUAAAGGGCGCUAUACCUUAACGGUCGUUUACCCAGUUAAGUAUAGCGCCCUUUUAAAAGGCGCUAUAUAUAUAAAGCCCUUUUAAAAGGCGCUAUAUAUAUAUAUUAUGUGGGCCUACCAAUAAUUCUUCUGGGCUUAACUGACAUAACAAUAAUUCAACUGGGUAUAGCACACAUAUUUAAGGUGCUAUACCUCAAAUAAUUAUACCCCUAAACUGAUUUUUGCCUUAUUUAAGGAGGUUAAGGAUUUUGUAAAAAUCCAUUCAUAAAUAUUUUCAGGUCUUCUGAACUAUUUCUUAGUUAAAUUAUUUUGCAUUUUGUCAUAAUGUCUGAAGAGAGAAGAAUCGGGGUUUCAUUAUAUCGGGUCUCCGUGCCCGUCGUAUUUUUCAAAUUUCGGCAUCUUAAAGCCAGCUAGCAAGUGCACAUGAGGAAACAUGCACAGGUUAGAGUAGGAGACACUCUUUUGGCCGCUUGGGCCUUUCAUGUUUUUCAAGCUUUGUUCCAGGCUCUUCAUAUUUCGAGCCACUUCCUCUUGCUCGGGAUUCUUGACAACCUUUUCUUGCUCAACCGAGAAGUCAUAUUGCGGAGGUUGAGUAAAUGAGUAUGGGAUCACAUAUGUUAUUUCUGGUUGAAACUGUGGACCCUGAAAGGUGAACGUUGGAGGCUCAACAUACGACUGUAGUAUAGUUGGUUGUGUUGUGGUGCAGACUGGUGCUGCAGAGAACAUUGUUGGCGGUGCCUUUGAAACCUUUUCUUUUUCUUUUUUUUUUUGCCAGAGUUUCGGGGUUUUCAAAUACCUCAAUUUUUCAGAAACCGGGUAAAUUUUCUCUAUUCGCCCUCACCCUUGCUUUUUCUUGAUUUUCUUUCCCUAUUCUAGAAGUCGGUCAACAUGCAAGCCGAAACAAAAAUAUACACAAGUAGCACAUAAAAUGCAUUAGGAUGGUCUUUUUAUAUUGGGUACACAUGUCCUAGACGGACCCAACCUCUGUGUUGAGUCCCCAAAGUCAAAUGCACGUGAUGCAAACAAGCGUACCUACUAGGGAUCCGACAUGAGGCUUUGUUCAUCUAGGUUUAAAUUUUGGGAUGUGUUGUUCUAGACCUGGCUUAUCCGAGCGGACAACCCGAGCCAGGGGAGGGGGGCAACAUACCUGGAAUACAAAAGCUUCACCGACUUUGCAACUUGUCCGAUCCUCAUUCUAAAAUUAGGGGUAUGACUCUAACAAAAAAGAAACCACGCGAAGCACACGCUUCCGAGAAGAUUUAGUAGACUUAUAGAGAAUAAGGGUGUCAUAACAGUUUUAUAUACAGUUCACAGAAUAUCCAAGCGGUAAAUGAGUGGCAAUUAGCACAUUAGGCCCAAACAUGUAAUAUCAGACAAUCACAAGAAAGCCAAGCAUAACAUUUAUUAUAAGCUCGAAUUCUGAAUCCUAAACCAGAAGUUUUGGGUUCUUGUCCCCAGCAGAGUCGCUAGAGCUGUCACACCUUCCUUUUUUUGGAAAGGAUAGGGAAGUUUUUUCAAUUAAAGUGACACUAUUCGAAAUAAAAUUAUUUAUUUAAUUAGAGUCGCCACUUGGAAUAAUUAUUAUGGAGUCCCAAGACACCAGUUUAUUUUAAAAUCCCAAAUCGAGGAAAUUGACUCUAUUUAUGGUCUGCGAGCACAAAAGACUGGGUAAAGAAUUUUAUUAACCCGGGAGAAUGUGUGAGGCACUCCUGAGUUCUGUGAUUUUAGUACAGUCGCUUAACAAUUAAUACUUGGCCUAAUUAUCUGAUUUAUUACCUGUUUUAAACUUAUUGUGCAUUUUACCUUUGAUCGCUUUUAAUUAUGUAUUUAAACCACAUUUUAGUAUUUAUGGAGUUAUUUAUUGAACAAGUUACGAUGUUGUACACUUGUCGUUUGGGUACACAUUGCAAACCGCGCCACGUGAAACGCACCGCGAUUCACAACAUGUUUAUUAUUAUUAUUAUUAUUAUUAUUAUUAUUAUUAUUAUUAUUAUUAUUAUUAUUAUUAUUAUUAUUAUUAUUAUUAUUAUUAUUAUUACUAUUACUGAAGUUAUAGUCGAGUCGCAUAAAAUGCACACCCAAAUUGAAGAAUUAUGUAUCACGACUAUGCCACAGGAACCGUACCCAUAGUUGUGAUGAUUUAUUUACGCGUCUAAAGAAAACUACGAUAUUUAUGAAUUAUUUUCCUAAACUACCUUUGAGAUUUGUUGUAAGGUUUUGGCGUAUGGAAACGUUUGGGCAUGGAAUGUGUAAUCUAAUUACUUAAACCUUUGUUGGAUUGAUGUACGACUACAUCAUUAUGGGCUUGAACUUAUGUGACUCCAAAUGUUAAGACUAAGCCAAUGCAGGGAAGGGGUCUAUAUUUGGAAUCAAUCUGAUUUUACCAAGUCAUUAAGGCUCUUUAGAUGAUCACUAUAGGUGGUAUUUUGAGGGAGCUAAAGCAAUGAGCCUUAAUAAGGGUUCGAAUCGCGAUACCAUUGGCCCUGCUAUGGUAGCUUGUUCACACUCUAAUUGAUUCAUAACAAUGAAUUACAAACUUAAUCGAUUCAUAAACAAAUGACUUACAUAAUCAUGAGAAAAUAAAAUGAGAUCAAUUUUAAUCAUGAGAAAUAAAAAUGAUAUUAAUUUUUGAAUAACUUACAAAAUCAAUACCCAUUGAUUUUAUCUUUACAUGUAUAACCCGUUACAAUGGUAAUCAUCUCUGGGCAUUACAGUGACAUCCACUUUAAUCACAAUUUUCGAUAAUGGUAAUGGACAUGAAUGCUUUCUAAUGUAUAUGGAAGUCAUUUACAAUAAUAGCUAAACCAAAACAGGAUAUGAUUAAUCUUUAGUUUAAACUUCUUUCCAACAGUGACUUCAAGUCCACUCCUUAACUUUAGAGUUUACUAAUCUCACCAACUAGUGGUCAGAUCUGCAAACUACAGCCCUAUGAUCAGUAGCAACAGCUCUUUACAUCCUCAAAUUAACAAAAAUUCACAUAUUUCAUACACAGAACACUAUAGUAGAGCUUCUGUUUGAACUACUGCCAAAUCUGCAUGAUUUAAACAAAAACUUCAACCUUAUUCAAAACUAAAAGGGUUUAGCAAUUGAUGCCACAUGCUUAAAUGACCAUAGAUAUCAAAUUGACCCAUAUAAUUGAUCUACUUCAUUGUUUCCAACCCAGAUUGAAGUGAAAUGCGCAUUUAAACUUCACAUAAGAUAACAACAAACAAAUGCUCAUAAAUCAAACAAGAAUAGCAACAUUUCUGGUCAUUCGAUAAAAAUAUAAUACAUAGAAAAUUUGGCACUAACCUAGUUGAACAGGAAAACAUUAAAAGAUAAUCCAAAGAAGAGUCGAAUCUGAUCCAAAUUAGAAACUCAACAAUAACUUUAGGAGUAGAACCAAGGUUCCAGCAGUCAAUCAAACUUGUAAAAUCGAAAGAAAUGAAGCAAAAAAACAAAAACAAAGAAAAGUUUGGAAUUCCUUUUUUUCUUCUAUAUUUAAACUGAGUUUUCAGGGUGUCUUCUUUUUGAAAAAAUCAGUGAGGAAAAGGGAAUGUAUCAGUAAUUUCUGCAUGGAAUUUAGUGUGUGUGAGUGAGGGAAUGUGAGGUCUUGUAUAGAAAAAAGAAGAGGGAAUAAUCUGAGGAGUGUGCAGUCCCUAAAAAUAAGGAAAAUAGCAUCUUUUCUUAACAGAUUUGGACAACUGUCCUAUUUUAGCAUCUUUUUCCUAACAAUUGUCCUUUUUUUUCUUUUUAUUUUUUAGCAUCUCUUUUUCCUUCUAGAAACAUCUCAAAGACUCUCCUAAGUUUCCUAUUUCAAAUUACUCCCUCAAACUUCUAGUAUUUACAAACAAGCUAGAAAGAUCAGAUGGAUAGGUAAAACAGAGAAAUAUGCCGAUUAUCCUACCAAACAACUCAACAAACAACUUGCUUCAAUUGCUUAAAUUAAUCCAAAAUGAAUUAUCCUAACAAACUCAUACAAUUAAAAUACUUAACAUGCAAUUGAACUACUAAAAAUUAUCCUAACGAUUCAGGUAAUUAAACUAUCUAACACAUGCAAUUAACUAAUAACCUAAAUAAUGAACAUUUAAAAUAGUAAUUACUAUUAAGUGCAAGACUAACAAUUAAUUAAACUAAACGAGAAAGAAAAUGAUUACCUUGAAGAGUGUGAAAAAUUUGGAACUUUGACUGGUCGAGAACAAAUUGGCCGGACUCCGGUGCCUUCGACACGAACUAAAAUCAACAUCAAUCGAUUGCUCCCAUUGAGAACAAUCGAUUAAUGUAAAUUUCAUAUUGAAUCGAAUCUUGAAAUCUUGGAGAAUAAAAAAGAAAGAACCUAGGGUUUCUAGGGGUUUUUGAAUUUGAAAUUCAAAAGAUUUGGUGGGGUUUUUGGGGAAAACAAUGGUAGAUUAGGGUUAAGGGUAAGAUGAGGAUUGCAGGUGAAUAUUUGUGGUUGUUUGGAGCUUGCCCGCCGGUCAAAAUGGAGUUGUGGGUAUUAGGCGGCUCAGGGUUAGAGAGAUUUGGGAGAGAUGGGAGAAUGAGG